CCAUAUCCAUCCAUCUAUUCUAUCUAGACAUAUCCGUAUGUAUAUGUACAUACGGAGACACCCCGAUCAAAAUAGAUAGAU
rnacentral:tRNA from 1 species